rnacentral:rRNA from 1 species
AAAGCGUGCGCAGGCGGUUAUGUAAGACAGAUGUGAAAUCCCCGGGCUCAACCUGGGAAUUGCGUCUGUGACUGCAUAGCUAGAGUACGGUAGAGGGGGAUGGAAUUCCGCGUGUAGCAGUGAAAUGCGUAGAUAUGCGGAGGAACACCGAUGGCGAAGGCAAUCCCCUGGACCUGUACUGACGCUCAUGCACGAAAGCGUGGGGAGCAAACAGGAUUAGAUACCCUAGU